CUAAGUAAUUUCAGGAAAACUCAAACUUUUUCAUCCAUACGGAUUAAUUCCGAAAUAAGGAAGAAAUUGUUACUACUGUGAGGAAAUUGAAAUGAAGGAAAUUUCUGUCCCACUGUUUUUGCUUCUGGCGACCCUAAUUAUUCUACCGACAGAAUGCUUUCACACCCAUUCUGCAAAUGUUAAGACCGGGGGAAAAAUUACAGAUCAAGGAGGUCAGGGUGGCGUAGAAAGUCUGAUAAGUGCACAAGGAUGUGGCAAAUCCGGGAA